rnacentral:rRNA from 1 species
UACGUAGGGGGCAAGCGUUGUCCGGAUUUAUUGGGCGUAAAGAGCGUGUAGGCGGCCAGGCAGGUCCGCUGUGAAAACUCGAGGCUCAACUUCGAGACGCCGGUGGAAACCAUCAGACUAGAGUCCGGAAGAGGAGAGUGGAAUUCCUGGUGUAGCGGUGAAAUGCGCAGAUAUCAGGAAGAACACCCGUGGCUAAGGCGGCUCUCUAGUACGGUACUGACGCUGAGACGCGAAAGCGUGGGGAGCGAACAGG